rnacentral:rRNA from 1 species
AAUCAACGCUGGCGGCGUGCCUAACACAUGCAAGUCGAACGAGAAAGGGGACUUCGGUCCCUGAGUACAGUGGCGCACGGGUGAGUAACACGUGACUUAUCUACCCUCGAGUGGGGAAUAACUUCGGGAAACCGAGGCUAAUACCGCAUAAUACCCACGGGUCAAAGGAGCAAUUCGCUUGAGGAGGGGGUCGCGGCCGGUUAGUUAGUUGGCGGGGUAAUGGCCCACCCAAGACGGUGAUCGGUAUCCGGCCUGAGAGGGCGCACGGACACACUGGAACUGAAACACGGUCCAGACUCCUACGGGAGGCAGCAGUGGGGAAUUUUGCGCAAUGGGGGAAACCCUGACGCAGCAACGCCGCGUGGAGGAUGAAGUCUCUUGGGACGUAAACUCCUUUCGAUCGGGACGAUUAUGAUGGUACCGGAAGAAGAAGCCCCGGCUAACUUCGUG